GGGGGUGGGGGCCCGUAGGAAUUCAGUUCAGUCCCACAAACCCUGGAGCAGGAGGCAGAGCUGGGGAUACAAAGAUAGAUGUGGCAGGGGUAGGUGCGACAUGUGGAAGUGGGACAACUGACAGGAUUUGGUCAAGAUGGCAUCAGAUGAAGGAAAACUCUUUGUUGGUGGACUGAGUUUUGAUACUAAUGAACAGUCAUUGGAACAAGUCUUCUCAAAGUAUGGACAGAUUGCUGAAGUUGUUGUUGUGAAAGACAGGGAGACUCAGAGAUCCAGAGGUUUUGGCUUUGUCACAUUUGAGAACAUAGAUGAUGCUAAAGAUGCCAUGAUGGCCAUGAAUGGAAAGUCUGUUGAUGGGCGGCAGAUUAGAGUUGACCAGGCAGGCAAAUCAUCAGAAAAUCGGUCCCGUGGAUACAGAGGGGGUUCAUCCAGUGGCCGAGGCUUCUUCCGUGGAGGCAGGGGUCGAGGCCGUGGUUUUUCUAGAGGAGGUGGAGACCGCGGUUAUGGGGGGAGCAGAUUUGAAUCCAGAAGCGGAGGAUAUGGAAGUUCCAGAGACUAUUACAGCAGCAGCAGGAGUCAAGGAGGCUAUGGUGACCGGUCUUCAGGAGGGUCUUACAGAGACAGCUAUGACAGUUAUGGUUGAAGAAAGUGAAGCAAUAAUCUCCAGGAAGGUGGCCAAGCACCAUGGUGUCUGACCUAAGGACUCCCUAGAGGCAGCCAUUGAAGCCUGCUUGUGCUCAUGCACUCCCUCCCUCCCUUAUCUGGAAUGGUUUCCUGGGGAGGCAGAGAACUUGAGACUUGACCUGGAUAACUUAUUGAUGAACUUCAGAGAAGACCAAAAAAUAACUGAAUUGCACUUCAGAAAUUGAGGCCUAUGAAUAUUAGAAUGUUAUUGGAAGAAUAAAACCAUUAGAAAAAUGCUCAUCUGUAAUCAUUUGAAAUUGAAAAAUCAGAUUAGAAUAAAUGCCUCAAAAUGGAAAUAAGAACCUUUGAAUUUGUGGUAUAUGUUUCUUAGUCAAAGAUAGUUCUGUGUUUUGUUGUAGGUAAUUGUGGAUCAGUGUAACUGAUCCCCUUGAAUCACAAGCAGAUCUGAAUUCUAGCAUGGGAUUUGCCAAGAAUAGUUUGAUACUAGGUAUAAGUCCCAGGUUUACAUUUUGUGUGACCUCCAAAUACGAAUUUAAUCACCAAUAAAAAAUGGUUACUUUUAUUACUUCCCAGGGUGAUAGUGAGCUAAAGAGCUCUCUUAAAAAGCACUGUAGUAGAGGAGGCAGCUAGGUGGAUUGAGAGAACAGGAGGUCCUGGGUUCAAACUGUUGCCUCAGACACUUCUUGCUAUGUGACCCUGGCAAAGUCACUCAUCUGCCUUAGAACCAGUACGUAGUAUUGAUAAUCAAAUUUUUAAAAGCAUCAUAGGGGUUUAUUAACAAGUCACUUCUUUUAAAGCUCGACUUUCCAAUGGCAAAGUCAGGAAAUGAAAUAUUUUGAAGACUGGGAACAUUGGAUUAUGUCACAAAGUUAUGAAAAGUGACUAGAAAAAUAUUUUGUCAUGAGGUAAGGAAACGACAAAAUAUUCUAAUUUAGUUUUGUUAUUCAGUACAUGGGAGCCUUUUGGGUUUAGCCCCACCAAAAACUGAAAGAGAAUCAUCCAACCCAGUAACACUUGAUAUACAGUGGGGGUUGGGAGAAUUCUAGUGAAGAAAAAACCAUUUUGGCAUUCAAGAGGCCUGAUAGAAGUUGGGAUAUUAAAUGAAAAUUAUUUGUUCUGACCCAGAGAAUAAUGGUUGAGCAGGGAGUUGAGAAAGAUUUUGCCUCUUAAAGAGGAAAAAAUGGAUAAUUAGAAGGCACAUAUUGCCACCUCUUAAAGCAGAGACUAGUUGAAGGCUUGUCAUUGUCAGCAAGGGGCAGCUAGAUAGAAUAGAAAUAGAAAGCCAGGCCUAGAGUCAGGAGGGCUUGGGUUUAAAUUCUCUCAGACAUUAUCUAGCCCUGUGACCCUGGGCAAAUCAUUUAACCCUAUCUGCCUAGACUUGGGUCUUGCCAAGACAAAGUAAAAGUUUAAAAAUUGUCAAGGAGAAGUUUUUGUUUAAGGUGUAGAUUUGGGCUAAUUGAGCCAGGAUGUCAUCUUAAUGAAGCAACACCUUUGUAGCUAUGCUGGGAUUGAAUUCACUUUUCUAUAACUGCUGUACUGUUUGCUGUCAUUUAAUGUCACUGCCUUUCACAACUCGACUGUACUUCUAACCCAUGGAUUGACCCAAGAUUGUUAGCAUCUGUGAGGGAGAACUUUGCCCUCAGAAUGAGGCUUGGACAGGAAGGGUGAGGGAGGCGGCGGCAGCUCUGAAGUGCUGAGCUGGUGCUGGAGGAAGGGAAAUCGAGUUUGUUGAGUGAUUAACUUGGACCUCAGCACACUGAAUGCUUGUGUGUCACGGAGGCUGAUCACCAGGACCAGCGGCGGUGGAGAAUCCGGUCUUGCCUCCCUUUCCCUGUAACGCUCUGGGGAGUGUCUGGGGCACAGUUUUGAAGGCGUGUCAAUGUACUGCCAAAAAUAAAUGGAUGAAUUGGGA